CGGCUGGACACCAUGCUAUUCACCGAGACUGCUCACUUCGUGGUGAAUUUUCUUCUGUCCCGGCGGCCCCGGGCCACGGCCCCGCACCGCCUGGACAAGGAGUUGUGUUUCUGGGGCAGCCGGGGCCCGGUCUUGCCGGCCCCCGCCGCCCGCCGCAGCCUGGGCGACUACUGGCUGAGCCCGCAGCGCCGCCACCCUCCGGGUGCCGCCUGGCGCUGGCCCGCACGGAACCUGUUAUUGCUGCCCGGGGCCACCUGCCUGGCCGACGUGCCCUCAGCGCGCUGGCCAAGCUGCUACGGCGCGCGCCCGAGACUCACGUGGAAGCACCGGUGGCAGAAUAUUAACUACUAUUUUCUGGGCAAAAGGAAGAGACAUCUAGUUCCCUUGCGCCCGUGAGAGCCGGGACUUGGGGAGACAGGCUUCAGGCUCCAUCGCAUGAUGAUCCUGGGGCCGACUUGUGCCAAGGCUGGGCUAAGAGGGAAGAUGGCCUGGAUGCGCAGCAUGAUCCUGAGUCCCCUCUCUGUGGAUGACAAUGAGUCACCUUUGCCCUCCUUCCUGAGAUCUCUGUGGUUCUGCCCUUCAUUCUCCAAAUAAAAUCACCGUGGCCUCGCUCUGGC
rnacentral:lncRNA from 1 species